GACGAACGCUGGCGGCGUGCUUAACACAUGCAAGUCGAACGGAAAGGCCCUGCUUGUGUGGGGUGCUCGAGUGGCGAACGGGUGUGUAACACGUGUGUAACCUGCCCUUGACUUGGGUAUAACUUCAGGAAACUGGGGCUUAUACCGGAUAGGCGCGCCUGCUGCAGGGUGGGGGUUGGAAAGUUUCGGCGGUUGGGGAUGGACUCGCGGCUUAUCAGCUUGUUGGUGGGGUAGUGGCUUACCAAGGCGUUGACGGGUAGCCGGCCUGAGAGGGUGACCGGCCACAUUGGGACUGAGAUACGGCCCAGACUCCUACGGGAGGCAGCAGUGGGGAAUAUUGCACAAUGGGCGGAAGCCUGAUGCAGCAACGCCGCGUGCGGGAUGACGGCCUUCGGGUUGUAAACCGCUUUCGCCUGUGACGAAGCGUGAGUGACGGUAAUGGGUAAAGAAGCACCGGCUAACUACGUG
rnacentral:rRNA from 1 species